rnacentral:lncRNA from 10 species
CCUUUGCAGUCCUAGGUCGUCUGGGAGCUGCCGCUGACGCCGCCGACCAGAGCCUUCCCCUCGGCCCCAGCACCCUUCGAACUCCCGGGGCGGGCACGGAGCUCUGGACAGCCGCGUCCCCGCCCUCCCCGCCGGCUCCAGAGUGAGGCCUUCUGCGGGCAGCGGGCACUGGGCUUGGUCCAGAACCUCAGAGGCGGCCGGGGCCGAGAUGGAGGGAAACCUGGGAGCGGGCGGCCGCGCGCUCUGCUGGGUCUGGGCUCGGCCGCGCGCCCUCCGGCCUCCUUCCCCCACUCGGAAGUCGCCCCCGGACCCGGAGCGGCCUCUGUGGUUCCGACUGGUCCAGGACGGUGAGACUCCUUCUCUCUCCCCAGCUUUCCUACCAGUGCGGGAAACGGAAGGAGGACUUUUUCUGGAAAAUCAGUGUCUGCGCUUCCCACCGGGCGGGUUGGACCUGAAGACACGUCCGUCCCGCGGAGAAUACGCGACACCGUGACCGACACGCGGCAGUCCUGCCUUAGAAGCGCGGCCGGGCCGGCGCGGGACCCGCAGCCUGGGGACCUUCCUCGCGCCCCAGAGGGGUCUGGGUGGAACGGGAAAAUUAAAAAUUAAAAAAAAAAAAAAAAACGGAAAGGCAAGAAAGGAAGAAGUCCGCUGGAGAACUCCGUGCGAAGGCCCCACUCCUACACGUCCCCGGCCUCAAGGGGAGACGAGGAAGAGAGCGGCCCAACCUGGGCCUGGGAGUAUCGUGACCCAUGUGUUUAAAGAACUAAAACGUGGCGUUAAAAAUAAGUGGACGGGACACCAUCAGAACUGUUUUUUUUGUUUGUUUUGUUUUUAGAUGGAGUCUCACUCUGUCGCCAGGCUGGAGUGCAAUGGCGCGAUCUGGGCUCACUGCAACCUCCACCUCCUGGGUUCAAGUGAUUCUCCUGCCUCAGCCUCCUGCACCCUCCUGUGUAGCUGGGAUUACAGGCACGUGCCACCACGGCUGCCUAAUUUUUGUAUUUU